CUCUGUUGCCCAGGCUGGAGUUCGGUGGUGAGAUGAUGGCUCACUGCAGCCUCGACCCCCAGUCUAAAAGGAUUCUCCCGAGUAGCUGGGACAACGGGGUGCCAUCAGGCCCGGCCCGAUGCCUGAGUCUUUAGCAACAAAGUGAGGUUCCUCACCCUGUAGGCUCUGCCAAGGCCUGAGUAUGAUGCUGUGGGUGAUUCACUGCCCAGAAGAUGGAGGGCCUGGGUCAGGACCAGCCUGAUAAAGCACAAAGAACAUCCAUCGAGGGCACCUCAAACCAACACAGGACCAGUAAGCUUAGGAAUCACACUAUGAAGGUGGAGUUGGACCUCACAAAGUUAAAACUGGGUCUUUGGCAGGAGUCCCUUGCAUAGCAU